CCCUCUGGCACAAAUGGAAGAAGAAAGAAGGGAGCAAGUAGCUAAAAUUAAGAAGAUGGAGAUGGAGAUGGAGCAGGUGUUUGAGAUGAAGGUCAAAGAAAAAGUUCAAAAACUGAAGGACUCUGAAGCUGAGGAACUGAUUUCAUCUGAAAUUGAAGAGACAAUCAGAGAAAAACUAUAGACCACUCAUGAUGGUUGUUAUAUGUGCUUGGCUGGGCCAUGGGUCCCAGUGUUUGGUGAAACACAGCAGCAGAUGUCCCUCACACACAUGCCCUCUUGGUUCUGUUUCUUUGAAGAACCCCAGGAAAACACACAAAGGAAAAACAACUCGAUAGACAGAAGAUUCUUCAAUGACAACAAUGGAAGCCAUCUUCACCAUUCAACUAAACUUGAAUGGGAUAUUAUCAAACUUAAAAAAAAAUUAUCAACUGAUCGUGUAAUCAGUUUCAUCUUUUAAGACAGGAAAUGAAAUAAAGUAUUUACAGAUGAAUGUAAAAUGAACUUA
rnacentral:lncRNA from 10 species